GGAUUGCCCCAGUAACGGCGAGUGAAGCGGCAACAGCUCAAAUUUGAAAUCUGGCCCUCGGGUCCGAGUUGUAAUUUGUAGAGGAUGCUUUUGGCGAGGUGCCUUCCGAGUUCCCUGGAACGGGACGCCAUAGAGGGUGAGAGCCCCGUCUGGUCGGACACCGAGCCUCUGUAAAGCUCCUUCGACGAGUCGAGUAGUUUGGGAAUGCUGCUCAAAAUGGGAGGUAUAUGUCUUCUAAAGCUAAAUAUUGGCCAGAGACCGAUAGCGCACAAGUAGAGUGAUCGAAAGAUGAAAAGCACUUUGAAAAGAGGGUUAAAAAGUACGUGAAAUUGUUGAAAGGGAAGCGCCUAUGACCAGACUUGAGCCCGGUGAAUCAUCCAGCGUUCUCGCUGGUGCACUUUGCCGGGCCCAGGCCAGCAUCAGUUUGGCGCGGGGGAUAAAGGUGACGGGAAUGUGGCUCCCUCGGGAGUGUUAUAGCCCGCUACGUAAUACCCUGCGCCGGACUGAGGUACGCGCAUUGCAAGGAUGCUGGCGUAAUGGUCAUCAGCGACCCGUCUUGAAACACGGACCAAGGAGUCGUCUUCGUAUGCGAGUGUUCGGGUGUCAAACCCCUACGCGUAAUGAAAGUGAACGCAGGUGAGAGCUUCGGCGCAUCAUCGACCGAUCCUGAUGUUCUCGGAUGGAUUUGAGUAAGAGCAUACGGGGCCGGACCCGAAAGAAGGUGAACUAUGCCUGUAUAGGGUGAAGCCAGAGGAAACUCUGGUGGAGGCUCGCAGCGGUUCUGACGUGCGAAUCGAUCGUCAAAUAUGGGCAUGGGGGCGAAAGACUAAUCGAACCUUCUAGUAGCUGGUUUCCGCCGAAGUUUCCCUCAGGAUAGCAGUGUUGAACUCAGUUUUAUGAGGUAAAGCGAAUGAUUAGGGACUCGGGGGCGCUAUAUUGCCUUCAUCCAUUCUCAAACUUUAAAUAUGUAAGAAGCCCUUGUUACUUAAUUGAACGUGGGCAUUCGAAUGUAUCAACACUAGUGGGCCAUUUUUGGUAAGCAGAACUGGCGAUGCGGGAUGAACCGAACGCGAGGUUAAGGUGCCGGAGUGGACGCUCAUCAGACACCACAAAAGGUGUUAGUACAUCUUGACAGCAGGACGGUGGCCAUGGAAGUCGGAAUCCGCUAAGGACUGUGUAACAACUCACCUGCCGAAUGUACUAGCCCUGAAAAUGGAUGGCGCUCAAGCGUCCCACCCAUACCUCGCCCUCAGGGUAGAAACGAAGCCCUGAGGAGUAGGCGGACGUGGAGGUCAGUGACGAAGCCUAGG
rnacentral:rRNA from 1 species